rnacentral:rRNA from 1 species
UGAAACACGGACCAAGGAGUUUAUCGUGUGCGCAAGUCAUUGGGUGUUGAAAACUCAAAGGCGCAAUGAAAGUAAAGAAUCCGCAAGGAUACGACGUGUGAUCUGAGCAAUCACGAUUGCCUGGAGCAACAUGGCCCCAUUCUGGUCGCUUGCGACGGGGUGGAGGAAGAGCGUACGCGGUGAGACCCGAAAGAUGGUGAACUAUUCCUGAGCAGGAUGAAGCCAGAGGAAACUCUGGUGGAAGUCCGAAGCGAUUCUGACGUGCAAAUCGAUCGUCUGACUUGGGUAUAGGGGCGAAAGACUAAUCGAACCAUCUAGUAGCUGGUUCCUUCCGA